CUACGGACAAGGCAGAUUAAUAACUGACAGGAGUGUUUAUUCUCCAUGAGAACAUUGACCUUCAUAGUUUGAUACAUUUUGUAUAGUGGUGUAAAGUACCGUUCAUUAUUUUUGACAAAGGGGAAAAUUACUCUUAGCAAGUAUAGUCUUCGAAAUUGGAUUUUCACGCCAAUCAACCAUGCAGACCGUGUCGGCAUGUACUGAGUGGCAAAGUGCGCAUGACAAGUGAAGUAGUCAUUGAGUGAGGUAGAUUAUACUGUGAGGUAGAUGAAGCUAUAAUACUUUGCUUCUACUUCGUUAAAUUCACUCUUCGCGUGCCGUGAAUGGCGUAUAAGCAAGGUUAUACCCAAAGAUAAGGCCCGGCUCUUCAACGUGAAUAUGUGACUGCUGUAAACUCUUUAAUUAGUCAACGAGAGGGCCUCUUAAAAUAGCUAUUAUUGUAAGUUGCUGUUUUAAAAUCACGACGCCAUGGGAUUCAAUGCAAUGCAGUCCCACAAAAACUGACAUGAAUUAUGAUUCAGGGCAUUCUUUAUGUCGGCCAAUGUUAUAAAUAAUGAACAGUACGCCUUACGUCAAGGUCUAAUUGAUGGUAUAAUUUAGAAAGGGAUCUAUGUACAACAUUGAUUUAAAACUAAAGCACAAG